AUUGAACGCUGGCGGCAGGCCUAACACAUGCAAGUCGAGCGAGCGGCGGACGGGUGAGUAAUGUCUGGGAAACUGCCUGAUGGAGGGGGAUAACUACUGGAAACGGUAGCUACUACCGCAUACCAUCAGAUGUGUUCAGAUGGGAUUAGCUAGUAGGUGGGGUAACGGCUCACCUAGGCGACGAUCCCUAGCUGGUCUGAGAGGAUGACCAGCCAGCCUGGAACUGAGACACGGUCCAGACGCCUACGGAAGGCAGCAGGGGGGAAUAUGGCACAAUGGGUGCAAGCCUUAGGCAGCCAGGCCGAGUGUGUGAAGAAGGCCUUCGGGUUGUAAAGCACUGUCAACGGGGAGGCGUUACCCGCAGAAGAAGCACCGGCUAACUCCGUGCCAGCAGCCGCGGUAAUAC
rnacentral:rRNA from 1 species